UGCUCCAGAAUAGCUCUUGGAAACGGGUGGUAAUGCUGGAUGCUCCAACUUGACGCAUGUCUUGUUGGGAAAGUGUUUAGUGGCAUGGGGAAUGGGGGUCGCGUCCUAUCAGCUUGUAGGCGGGGUAAUGGCCCACCUAGGCUUCGACGGGUAGCCGGCCUGAGAGGGCGGACGGCCACAUUGGGACUGAGAUACGGCCCAGACUCCUACGGGAGGCAGCAGC
rnacentral:rRNA from 1 species